UAUAUCCACCUAGCGGUCUAUUCGUGCUAUAAUCAAACGGUUGCAUCUGUGCAACUAUGGUGAUAAAUGAAUCACGGAAUAGGCCAUAUGGACCAGGGGGCAGUACCCUGCGCCUCCGCCAAUAUGGGGGCGAAAAAGGUUCGACAUGUGGUAAUAAAGGUAGGACUUUCACUCGGCAUAGUACCACCGAUAUCGGGCUGAACGAAAAUAAAUGCCAACUCAAAUAGAAGAAGAGGCAGAAGAAGGUCCGUGGCUAACCUUAACAGGAAGUCUGGAGUUGCAGCAGCUGCUUAAUUUGCCCGGAAUGGGAUUUUAAGCUGAAGUUGCGCUUGCUGUUUUUUAACUAAGACGGUAGGAUCUGCGGUUUGGGGAAACACCGGGCAACAGAAGUUUCCCCACU
rnacentral:tmRNA from 1 species